GAGUUUGAUCAUGGCUCAGGAUGAACGCUAGCGGCAGGCUUAACACAUGCAAGUCGAGGGGUAUAUUUCUUCGGAGAUAGAGACCGGCGCACGGGUGCGUAACGCGUAUGCAAUCUACCUUUUACAGGGGAAUAGCCCAGAGAAAUUUGGAUUAAUGCCCCAUAGUAUAGUGAAUCGGCAUCGGUUUAUUAUUAAAGUCACAACGGUAAAAGAUGAGCAUGCGUCCCAUUAGUUAGUUGGUAAGGUAACGGCUUACCAAGACUAUGAUGGGUAGGGGUCCUGAGAGGGAGAUCCCCCACACUGGUACUGAGACACGGACCAGACUCCUACGGGAGGCAGCAGUGAGGAAUAUUGGACAAUGGGCGCAAGCCUGAUCCAGCCAUGCCGCGUGCAGGAAGAAGCAUCUAUGGUGUGUAAACUGCUUUUGUACAGGAAGAAACACUCCCUCGUGAGGGAGCUUGACGGUACUG
rnacentral:rRNA from 1 species